AUGGAGGAGGGCCUGCCGGAGGCGGGCGUCGCCGGCGGAGGCGCCCCCGAGGGGGAGAAUCUCACCUCCGGGAGGCCGCCCCCGGGCUUCGACGGGGUCCGCAUCAAGGCCAUGCGGGGAGCCAUCCAGGGACAUCCUCUCGCCCACGUGCAGGGUGCCCCAACGGAUGGUUACAGGAGCUCGCUGAACCAGGGAAACAACGGCACAUUUUGGGACGAGCGUCAAGUCUGUAUCCCAGCUGAGGAGCAGCAGUCGCCAGCUGAACGGUCUACUCGAUCCGUGAGAUCAAGGGGCAGGAGAACGAAAAAUUUCAGCGAUAAGGAGGACAAUAUGUUGGUGUUGGCAUGGCUGAAUAUCAGCAUGGAAGUAGCACCAGGGAACGAGCAAGUUCGUUCUUAUUGGCAGAGGAUAUAUUGUUACUUCCACCGGAACAGGAACUUCGAGUCAGAUCGCAAUCAAAAUUCCCUCACGCACCGUUGGUCUACCAUUCAAGAACAUGUUCAGAAAUUCUGCUGGUGUUAUGACCGGAUCGGGUGUAAAAACGGGAUCACGGAGGAAGAAAGGAUAGUUCAGGCAUUGGGAGUGUACAAAUCAGAAGAGAAGAAAGCGUUUGGUUUCUUGCAUUGUUGGAAUACCUUACACGCCCAUCAAAAGUGGACUGAUAGGUUGUCUCAGAAAAAACAGAAGACAACCUCCAAUUCAAGUCCGGGUACAUUUCCUCUUGGAACCAACUCAAUUCGGCUUGACGAUGAAGCGGAGGCUCGUAGUCCAAAAAAUGAGGACUCGGGCUCGGACGACGGAGGGGACUGUGGGCACGAGCUCCAGGUUCAGGCCAUGGAGUGCGCCCUCCAGGAGCAGCCUCUCGACCACAAGCCCCACCUUCAGGUUGCCGCAAUGGAUGGUUAUACCUAUAGGAGCUUGUUGAAUCAAGGAAACAAGGAACCAUUUUGGGAUGACCGUCAACUUGGUAGUAGCUCAGCUGAGGAGCAACAAUCGCCAAUUGAACAAGCUAUUCAGUCCAUGCCAACGAACAUCAAGAGAACAGAAAAUUUCAGCGAUAAGGAAGACUAUAUGUUGGUGUUGGCAUGGCUAAAUAUCAGUAUGGAUGCAGCACAAGGGAAUGAGCAGACUUGUUCUACUUACUGGCAGAGAAUGCAUUGUUACUUCCACGAGAACAGGAACUUCGAGUCAGAUCAUAGUCAAAAUUCUCUCUUGCAGCGUUGGUCAACCAUUCAAGAACACGUAGAGAAGUUCUGUAGAUGUUAUGACCGUGUUGGGCAUAGAAGCGUGGUGACAGACAAAGAUAAGAUUGUUCAGGCAUUGGAAGUGUACAAGGCAGAAGAAAAGAAAGCAUUCGCUUUCUUGCAUUGUUGGAAUACCUUGCAGCUCCAUAAAAAAUGGACUGAUAUGUUAUCUCAGAAAAAACAGAAGACGACACCCAAUUCAAGUCCAGACACGUCCAACUCAAGUUGGCCUGAUGGUGAAGCGGAGGUUCCUACUCCAGAAAAUGAGCCUUUGGAAAGACCAAUAGGUAGUAUGGCGGAGAAAGAACAAUUACAACCUUGUAAAAGUUCUGUCUCUCCAAAUGAUAAUAUUUACAUGGAAGCGGCAAAUCAUCUGUGGUCAAAUAAGAGAGUGGCGGAGAGCGUGAAAGAGCUCAAGGAAGAUGAGCACUUUGAACAAGCAUGUGCACUAGAAGAAGAGAGGAUUGCAAAUGGAAUAGACAUGAUAGCACACAAGAGAAAAAAGCUUGAAGUAAAAGAAAGAGAGUUAGAAUUCAAGAGAAAGAAGCUGGAAGUAAGGGAAAGAGAGUUAGAACUUCAGAGAAGGUUGGAAGAUGCGAGAAUAAUGGAUAUGGAUAUUAGUGCUAUGACUGGGCGACAACAACAGUUCUACAUGAGCUUGCAGAAUGAGAUCAUUGCUCGACGAUGCAAUAGGUCGAAAUGA
rnacentral:rRNA from 1 species